UACAGGUAUUAAUUUGUGUAUUUUUUAAAAGAAUAUGAAAGCAGAAAUGCUUAUUUUAUAAAGAAUUAUUGUUGUAGCCUAUCAGGAAAAUAAUCUGCAAUUGUCAGAUAAGUUAUUAGAUUUUUUUCGUGCUGUUCGCCUCCCGUUUUCUUCCCCCCUCGUGGCGCACUCGAACAAGAGAUUUAGAAGUAGAAUUUUGCAUACCAAUCAGAUGUUGGAAUCGACCACCUGGCUAAAGGAUGUAGUAGCCCCGAAGGCACGGGUUGUUGUGGCAGUGAGCCUGCUGCAGGAUUUGAUUAAAGGUCCAUUCAAUUAGAUGGGCCGACCGGAGGAAAGAAUAACAACUGGAGGGUCAUUGUGGUUCCCGUUCUGCCAAUUCUGGAGCUGUCCAUCAUGUCAGGCGAGCUGCCAAUAUUUUGGUUACGGGGAGGGUGCGAAAACUAGAGGAGAAGGGGCGAUCCGGGAGACAGUGGCGCCGUUAGAGUGGCUGCGUUAGAAAUCUCGGUUGUGUUUAUAUAUAUUUGUACGACGUGACACUAAUUUUGUUGUUCCCGCAGGACUUCCUCCUAGGCGAUGCCACAAAAGCGAAAAAGAAGUUCGGUUGGUCCCCUAGGAUAAAAUUCGAGGAACUGGUACAAGAAAUGGUGGACGCAGAUAUAGCUCUGAUGAGAAAGAAUCCAGCAGCUUGAGACGAUCGUUUAUUUAUGUUUUACAUUCCAUUCAUCGUAAGAACUGAUACGGCCAGUUACCUUCGAUCCAUCAUACAAUCUAAUUUUUUUGCACGAAGAGGUUUUUGGGGGUGUAUUAAAUCACAUUGGUGAAUAAAAGCUUUAUAAAUUUAA